rnacentral:rRNA from 1 species
GAACGCUGGCGGCAUGCCUUACACAUGCAAGUCGAACGGCAGCAUGAUCUAGCUUGCUAGAUUGAUGGCGAGUGGCGAACGGGUGAGUAAUACAUCGGAACGUGCCCUGUAGUGGGGGAUAACUAGUCGAAAGAUUAGCUAAUACCGCAUACGACCUGAGGGUGAAAGUGGGGGACCGCAAGGCCUCAUGCUAUAGGAGCGGCCGAUGUCUGAUUAGCUAGUUGGUGAGGUAAAGGCUCACCAAGGCGACGAUCAGUAGCUGGUCUGAGAGGACGAUCAGCCACACUGGGACUGAGACACGGCCCAGACUCCUACGGGAGGCAGCAGUGGGGAAUUUUGGACAAUGGGCGAAAGCCUGAUCCAGCAAUGCCGCGUGUGUGAAGAAGGCCUUCGGGUUGUAAAGCACUUUUGUCCGGAAAGAAAUGGCUCUGGUUAAUACCUGGGGUCGAUGACGGUACCGGAAGAAUAAGGACCGGCUAACUACGUGCCAGCAGCCGCGGUAAUACGUAGGGUCCAAGCGUUAAUCGGAAUUACUGGGCGUAAAGCGUGCGCAGGCGGUUGUGCAAGACCGAUGUGAAAUCCCCGAGCUUAACUUGGGAAUUGCAUUGGUGACUGCACGGCUAGAGUGUGUCAGAGGGGGGUAGAAUUCCACGUGUAGCAGUGAAAUGCGUAGAGAUGUGGAGGAAUACCGAUGGCGAAGGCAG